CGGGAUGUAGCGUAGCCUGGUAGCGCGCAUCGUUCGGGACGAUGAGGUCGCUGGUUCGAAUCCAGUCAUCCCGA
rnacentral:tRNA from 1 species